rnacentral:rRNA from 1 species
ACGAACGCUGGCGGCGUGCCUAAUACAUGCAAGUCGAACGCUUCUUUUUCCACCGGAGCUUGCUCCACCGGAAAAAGAGGAGUGGCGAACGGGUGAGUAACACGUGGGUAACCUGCCCAUCAGAAGGGGAUAACACUUGGAAACAGGUGCUAAUACCGUAUAACAAUCGAAACCGCAUGGUUUUGAUUUGAAAGGCGCUUUCGGGUGUCGCUGAUGGAUGGACCCGCGGUGCAUUAGCUAGUUGGUGAGGUAACGGCUCACCAAGGCGACGAUGCAUAGCCGACCUGAGAGGGUGAUCGGCCACAUUGGGACUGAGACACGGCCCAAACUCCUACGGGAGGCAGCAGUAGGGAAUCUUCGGCAAUGGACGAAAGUCUGACCGAGCAACGCCGCGUGAGUGAAGAAGGUUUUCGGAUCGUAAAACUCUGUUGUUAGAGAAGAACAAGGAUGAGAGUAACUGUUCAUCCCUUGACGGUAUCUAACCAGAAAGCCACGGCUAACUACGUGCCAGCAGCCGCGGUAAUACGUAGGUGGCAAGCGUUGUCCGGAUUUAUUGGGCGUAAAGCGAGCGCAGGCGGUUUCUUAAGUCUGAUGUGAAAGCCCCCGGCUCAACCGGGGAGGGUCAUUGGAAACUGGGAGACUUGAGUGCAGAAGAGGAGAGUGGAAUUCCAUGUGUAGCGGUGAAAUGCGUAGAUAUAUGGAGGAACACCAGUGGCGAAGGCGGCUCUCUGGUCUGUAACUGACGCUGAGGCUCGAAAGCGUGGGGAGCAAACAGGAUUAGAUACCCUGGUAGUCCACGCCGUAAACGAUGAGUGCUAAGUGUUGGAGGGUUUCCGCCCUUCAGUGCUGCAGCUAACGCAUUAAGCACUCCGCCUGGGGAGUACGACCGCAAGGUUGAAACUCAAAGGAAUUGACGGGGGCCCGCACAAGCAGUGGAUUAUGUGGUUUAAUUCGAAGCAACGCGAAGAACCUUACCAGGUCUUGACAUCCUUUGACCACUCUAGAGAUAGAGCUUCCCCUUCGGGGGCAAAGUGACAGGUGGUGCAUGGUUGUCGUCAGCUCGUGUCGUGAGAUGUUGGGUUAAGUCCCGCAACGAGCGCAACCCUUAUUGUUAGUUGCCAUCAUUUAGUUGGGCACUCUAGCAAGACUGCCGGUGACAAACCGGAGGAAGGUGGGGAUGACGUCAAAUCAUCAUGCCCCUUAUGACCUGGGCUACACACGUGCUACAAUGGGAAGUACAACGAGUCGCAAAGUCGCGAGGCUAAGCUAAUCUCUUAAAGCUUCUCUCAGUUCGGAUUGUAGGCUGCAACUCGCCUACAUGAAGCCGGAAUCGCUAGUAAUCGCGGAUCAGCACGCCGCGGUGAAUACGUUCCCGGGCCUUGUACACACCGCCCGUCACACCACGAGAGUUUGUAACACCCGAAGUCGGUGAGGUAACCUUUUGGAGCCAGCCGCCUAAGGUGGGAUAGAUGAUUGGGGUG